AGUCACAGGUAACACUUAUGAGGAAAUAAAAUAAAGGAAGCUCAAGUGGAUAAGAAGAAAAUCCCUAGGGUCACACACUGCCAGCGCUGGAGAGAGACGCCGGUGCCCUCGAGAAGGCUGGAGCAACCGCAGCCCUGCAGACACGGCCGCCUCCUCUCUCGCACGCGGGCACGGAGGCUCCCUGGGCUGCAGGGGCUCUGGUAGCUGUCACUGACAGAAGCCAUGGAUGUGCAGCUACAUCUGACAGCAGUCAUCUUCUCACCCCAGCUGAGACAGAAGUGUACCCCACAGGAGGUUAGAGAUGAAGGUCACUUGAUGCAUUGAACUAUCAUCGAGGGAUUUUGGAGCUUGGAGAGACAAUUGCACCGUUAUGAAUAUCAGCUUUGAUUCUUCCCAAUUAUACUAAGAAGCCCUAAGGGAUCCUUAAAGAAACAAAACUUGCCAAAUUUGUAGGGGACUCUAUCAUUCAGAGGCCCUGACAGGAGCCAGCUGAAUCCAGCCGUCAUAUAUGAUCCAGGAUCAAUCAGCCAGAACUCAUCCAGAGAACGAAGCAAGCCCCUAGAAAACUCCUACAAAGCAGAAAUUGCCAACAAACCAUCUUCUCUUUCAGCUCUUCAGCUCAUCAAUAUUUCCAAGGCUUUAAGAGUUAUCCCACUUUAAUAAAAAUGCAAAGUUAUUAAUAGAAAUUUCCAUGUGGAAAUUCUUUGUACUGAUUCAAUUUCUUAAGCCAAUAGCUUUAAUAGAGUCUUAAGGAGAGCAGGUAUAGCUUGAUCAAUCUAGGUCUUGUAUUUUUCAGAACAGAAAUGAUGCGAAGUGUAGAAAAACAUUUUUUUCUUCGGAGAAUCUGUUCCUGUGGCCAGACCCAGGCAGUGCAAGUGUGACUGCAUUUAUGCAGGUAGUUGCUGAUGUCAAAACCCACUAGUGUCCUCAAGGUGGAUCUUAAAGCAGAAUGUACUUGUACCACUAUCCACUGGCUGUUGACAGCUCUGUGGUGUCAUGCUGUUGUAACAAUGGAUGAAGAAAAAUACUCAGUACUGAUCUGCAGUGAAAUGGUUAUUUUUUGUGAGUUUGACUACAUAUUUGUCAUGUGGCAAUUUGACUGGAAAUUAAUAGGAUUACUUUUCACUGGCUGAGGUUAAUGGCAUUACCUGCUUGGCUUUUAUAAAAUUUCCAUAAUUUAGUAAUAUUUAUCUAAGUCACCGUAAAAGUAUAGAAAUUGAUAGUAAAAUCAUGGACAGCUGGGUAGAGGAUGAAAUGAAAUAAAGUAAACCAAACCCACGCUCUUAUGAAAACACAAAUGCCAAAUUAAGUUUCUUAGG